rnacentral:rRNA from 1 species
CCUACGGGUGGCAGCAGGGGGGAAUAUUGCACAAUGGGGGAAACCCUGAUGCAGCGACGCCGCGGGAGUGAAGAAGUAAUUCGUUACGUAAAGCUCUAUCAGCAGGGAAGAAAAUGACGGUACCUGAGUAAGAAGCCCCGGCUAACUACGUGCCAGCAGCCGCGGUAAUACGUAGGGGGCAAGCGUUAUCCGGAUUUACUGGGGGUAAAGGGAGCGGCGAAGGGAUGGCAAGUCUGGAGUGAAAGGCGGGGGCUCAACCCCCGGACUGCUCUGGAAACUGUAAGGCUUGAGUGCAGGAGAGGUAAGUGGAAUUCCUUGUGUAGCGGUGAAAUGCGUAGAUAUUAGGAGGAACACCAGUGGCGAAGGCGGCUUACUGGACUGUAACUGACGUUGAGGCUCGAAAGCGUGGGGAGCAAACAGGAUUAGAUACCCCAGUAGUC